rnacentral:pre_miRNA from 1 species
UCCCGUCUGGUCGCCAUUUUGGAAACUGACUAGCCCAGAAUAACUGCCCGCGUCUACACGCGGCAGAGAAGCGUGACUCCAAGAUAAAUAACUGUUAAUUCGAACUAAGGGGUUUAACUGUUAGUUCAAAUUAACAGUUAUUUAUCUUGGAGUCACGCUUCUCUGCCGUGUGUAGACGCGGGCAGUUAUUCUUGGCUAGUCAGUUUCCAAAAUGGCGACCGGACGGGA